UUAAAAGAAACUAAUUAAUAGUUGUUCACUGUUAAUGGAUAUAAGAAAUAAAUUCCUUUUAAA
rnacentral:tRNA from 1 species